GAUGAACGCUGGCGGCGUGCCUAAUACAUGCAAGUCGAGCGAACAGACGAGGAGCUUGCUCCUCUGACGUUAGCGGCGGACGGGUGAGUAACACGUGGAUAACCUACCUAUAAGACUGGGAUAACUUCGGGAAACCGGAGCUAAUACCGGAUAAUAUAUUGAACCGCAUGGUUCAAUAGUGAAAGACGGUUUUGCUGUCACUUAUAGAUGGAACCGCGCCGCACUAGCUAGUUGGUAAGGUAACGGCUUACCAAGGCAACGAUGCGUAGCCGACCUGAGAGGGUGAUCGGCCACACUGGAACUGAGACACGGUCCAGACUCCUACGGGAGGCAGCAGUAGGGAAUCUUCCGCAAUGGGCGAAAGCCUGACGGAGCAACGCCGCGUGAGUGAUGAAGGUCUUCGGAUCGUAAAACUCUGUUAUUAGGGAAGAACAAAUGUGUAAGUAACUAUGCACGUCUUGACGGUACCUAAUCAGAAAGCCACGGCUAACUACGUG
rnacentral:rRNA from 1 species